rnacentral:rRNA from 1 species
CGAAUGGCUCAUUAAAUCAGUUAUCGUUUAUUUGAUAGUACCUUACUACUUGGAUAACCGUGGUAAUUCUAGAGCUAAUACAUGCUAAAAACCCCGACUUCGGGAGGGGUGUAUUUAUUAGAUAAAAAACCAAUGCCCUUCGGGGCUCCUUGGUGAAUCAUAAUAACUUAACGGAUCGCAUGGCCUUGCGCCGGCGACGGUUCAUUCAAAUUUCUGCCCUAUCAACUUUCGAUUGUAGGGUAUUGGCCUACAAUGGUAUCAACGGGUAACGGGGAAUUAGGGUUCGAUUCCGGAGAGGGAGCCUGAGAAACGGCUACCACAUCCAAGGAAGGCAGCAGGCGCGCAAAUUACCCAAUCCCGACACGGGGAGGUAGUGACAAUAAAUACUGAUACAGGGCUCUUUUGGGUCUUGUAAUUGGAAUGAGUACAAUUUAAAUCCCUUAACGAGGAACAAUUGGAGGGCAAGUCUGGUGCCAGCAGCCGCGGUAAUUCCAGCUCCAAUAGCGUAUAUUAAAGUUGUUGCAGUUAAAAAGCUCGUAGUUGAACCUUGGGCCUGGCUGGCCGGUCCGCCUCACCGCGUGCACUGGUCCGGCCGGGCCUUUCCUUCUGGAGAGCCGCAUGCCCUUCACUGGGUGUGUCGGGGAACCAGGACUUUUACUUUGAAAAAAUUAGAGUGUUCAAAGCAGGCCUUUGCUCGAAUACAUUAGCAUGGAAUAAUAGAAUAGGACGUGCGGUUCUAUUUUGUUGGUUUCUAGGACCGCCGUAAUGAUUAAUAGGGAUAGUCGGGGGCAUCAGUAUUCAAUUGUCAGAGGUGAAAUUCUUGGAUUUAUUGAAGACUAACUACUGCGAAAGCAUUUGCCAAGGAUGUUUUCAUUAAUCAGUGAACGAAAGUUAGGGGAUCGAAGACGAUCAGAUACCGUCGUAGUCUUAACCGUAAACUAUGCCGACUAGGGAUCGGGCGAUGUUAUUA